UAGGGAAUCUUCCGCAAUGGACGCAAGUCUGACGGAGCAACGCCGCGUGAGUGAAGAAGGAUUUCGGUUCGUAAAACUCUGUUGUUAGAGAAGAACAGCGCAUAGAGUAACUGUUAUGCGUGUGACGGUAUCUAACCAGAAAGCCACGGCUAACUACGUGCCAGCAGCCGCGGUAAUACGUAGGUGGCAAGCGUUGUCCGGAUUUAUUGGGCGUAAAGCGAGCGCAGGCGGUCAAUUAAGUCUGAUGUGAAAGCCCCCGGCUCAACCGGGGAGGGUCAUUGGAAACUGGAAAACUUGAGUGCAGAAGAGGAAAGUGGAAUUCCAUGUGUAGCGGUGAAAUGCGCAGAGAUAUGGAGGAACACCAGUGGCGAAGGCGACUUUCUGGUCUGUAACUGACGCUGAUGUGCGAAAGCGUGGGGAUCAAACAGG
rnacentral:rRNA from 1 species